AAUAAACGACUCUCGGCAACGGAUAUCUCGGCUCUCGCAUCGAUGAAGAACGCCGCGAAAUGCGAUACUUGGUGUGAAUUGCAGAAUCCCGUGAACCAUCGAGUCUUUGAACGCAAGUUGCGCCCGAAGCCGUCAGGCCGAGGGCACGUCUGCCUGGGCGUCACG
rnacentral:rRNA from 1 species